UUCAAUCUCAAUGAUUCAUGGAUUAUGCAGAUUGUGGAGUUCAAUGGUCAGUUCAUCACUGUGGACAGACAUCACGGGCUGUACACCGUGUCCUUGGCCCCGCAGCUUGGUCUGAAGGGGAUAGCAAUUGAGUGGUGGGACGACAUGUUGGAAUGGCCAUUGUCACAGCCAUGGCUGCUUGCGUGGAGCAGAAUGCUUCUAACUAUUGAUAGCUACAUGCUCCUCUUCAGAUAUACAUCACCUAACGACUACAAAGUCUACCACCUGGAUAUGUCCACUGAACCUGCAACUUGUGUUUCCUUUCAUCAUCUGUGUUUCCUUGAGUUGAUAGCCCUUUCUUGUUGGAGUGGCUAUGUUUCCUUCCAUCAUAUGUGUUUCUUUAUGUGUUGUGUUUCCUUUCAUCAUCUGUGUUUCUUGGGAUCACUUCUGCGUGGAGAUCCUAGGUGAUUGAUCACGACCACGAGCUGCCUGCCUGAAGUUUCGAAUUCAGUCUUUUAGGUAAGUGAAACGUACAUAUUUCUUCUUCAUCAAUAUUAUUAUUUGCAGAGCUCUUUUCCUGCCCAGGUGUUUUCUUUUCCUGCCCAAGUAUUUCUUUUCCUAGAAACAGAUUCAUAGAUUGUUUCUUUUCCUGCAAUCUUCUUCUUUUAUACACAUAUCACCCCAUAUUACUUGGCAGCCUGCUUGAUUGAGACUUGAGAACCUGAAGUACUCAAUAAUGUCUUUCAUGUCCAUACAUAGGUUAAACAAAAAGCCCUAAAUUUGUCUACGAUGUCUUUCAUGUCUAGACAUGGGAUAGAUUUCAACAGCCAAUUGUGCAAGCUGCAACAAAAGCAAUAUUGCAGAUCUAGCACCACAAUAAGAAAAGCACAUGAUGUCUCCCUUCACUGAGUUAGCAAACCAAGAGAGAAAUAUACAAACACAGCUCAUAAAGAAAACAACAAAUGCAUCUCUCCAAAACCAAUUGGGUGUGAAAAGUCCUGACUUCCAUUCUUGUAGUCCUGAUUUCAACUCUUGGGCAUCUAUUUACUUUCUUCUUUUCUGAAGCUUGAUAAUCAUUUGGAUGAGUUUAACAGACACAUGAGCAGAGGUUUUUGACUGAUCAGGUACAACAGAAGUCCCUUUAUGUAUUCAUCAUGAAAUUGAUUCAUCCACUGCAAAUUGUAAAAAAGGAAGUUAUAGACAGUAUUUUCAUUACUCCAUAGCAGGUUAUAAGGGGAAGUUCAAUCACCAUA